rnacentral:rRNA from 1 species
GGCCCUACGGGAGGCAGCAGUGGGGAAUAUUGCACAAUGGGGGAAACCCUGAUGCAGCGACGCCGCGUGAGUGAAGAAGUAUUUCGGUAUGUAAAGCUCUGUCAGCAGGGAAGAAAAUGACGGUACCUGACCAAGAAGCCCCGGCUAACUACGUGCCAGCAGCCGCGGUAAUACGUAGGGGGCAAGCGUUAUCCGGAUUUACUGGGUGUAAAGGGAGCGUAGACGGUUACGCAAGUCUGGAGUGAAAGGCGGGGGCCCAACCCCCGGACUGCUUUGGAAACUGUAUAACUG